CUCCCUUCUCGGCCUUUUGGCUAAGAUCAAGUGUAGUAUCUGUUCUUAUCAGUUUAACAUCUGAUACGUCCCCCAGCAGGGAACGACAUAUUAAGUGGAUUUUUAGAACAGGGAGAUGGCAAAGGGGCUUACUAGCGGUUAAGGAAGUGGCCCCGUAAUCAGACAUCUGAGGUGUCACUGAGCAAAGCACUGUCCCCAUACACUACUCCCC
ensembl:snRNA U2 U2 spliceosomal RNA